UACGUAGGGUGCAAGCGUUGUCCGGAAUUAUUGGGCGUAAAGAGCGUGUAGGCGGCUCGAUCAGUCCGCUGUAAAAGUCCAGGGCUCAACCCUGGGAUGCCGGUGGAUACUGUCGGGCUAGAGUCCGGAAGAGGCGAGUGGAAUUCCCGGUGUAGCGGUGAAAUGCGUAGAGAUCGGGAGGAACACCAGAGGCGAAGGCGGCGACCUGGAUAGGUACUGACGCUCAACUACGAAAGCGUGGGGAGCAAACAGG
rnacentral:rRNA from 1 species